CUCAAGACGGGAGGCUCAGAUCCGCCGGAGGCUCCUGACGGCCACCUGACCCGGCGGGGAGCCACUGGUGAGACCGGCCCGGCGUCGG
rnacentral:ncRNA from 1 species